GAUGAAGAACGCAGUGAAAUGCGAUAAGUAGUGUGAAUUGCAGAAUUCAGUGAAUCAUCGAAUCUUUGAACGCACAUUGCGCCCCUUGGUAUUCCGAGGGGCAUGCCUGUUCGAGCGUCAUUAUAACCCCUCAAGCUCAGCUUGGUAUUGGGGCCUGCCAUCCUGGCAGCCCUUAAAAUCAGUGGCGGUGCCAUCCGGCUCUAAGCGUAGUAACUCUUCUCGCUAUGGAGUCCUGGUGGAUGCUUGCCAUUAAUCUUUUAACUUCUAUGGUUGACCUCGGAUCAGGUAGGGAUACCCGCUGAACUUAAGCAUAUCAAUAAGCGGAGGA
rnacentral:misc_RNA from 1 species